rnacentral:tRNA from 1 species
GACUUAAAAUCCGUCGACUUUCGAAUCGUGAGG